CAAUUCUAUAGAUGCAUGAAUAAUUAGUCAGCUUUGGGCAGAAAAAAAAUGCUUAGAGAACUAUGAUUAUGAAAUGGAACAUGAAUUCAGGCUCCUUUUCUUAAAUCAUCCUGUUUCUCAGUGCUUUACGUUUGUUAAAAGGUAAAGGGACCCCUGACCAUUAGGUCCAGUCAUGACCGACUCUGGGGUUGCGGCGCUCAUCUCGCUUUAUUGGCCGAGGGAGCCAGCGUACAGCUUCCGGGUCAUGUGGCCAGCAUGACUAAGCCACUUCUGGCGAACCAGAGCAGCACACAGAAACACCGUUUACCUUCCCGCUGGAGUGGUACCUAUUUAUCUACUUGCACUUUGAUGUGCUUUCAAACUGCUAGGUUGGCAGGAGCAGGGACUGAGCAAUGGGAACUCACCCUGUCGCUGGGAUUUGAACCGCCGACCUUCUGAUCGGCAAGUACUAGGCUCUAUGGUUUACACCACAGUGCCACCCGUGUCCCUUUACUUUUGUUACCAUAUGUUAAAUAAGAAAUGAGCUCACGGGCUGUACCAUGUGCAAAUUCUUCUUCUUCUUCUUCUUUGGAGAAUCAAUGGUGUCUCCGAAAAAUUUUACACAUCACUUGCAAAGACAGGCGAACUAAUAUCAGUGUACUGGCAGAAGCAAAGAUCACCAGUGUUGAAGCAAUGAUUCUUCAACAUCAGCUUCGUUGGACUGGUCAUGUUGUGCGGAUGCCCGAUAAUCGUCUUCCAAAGCAACUACUCUAUUCCGAACUUAAAGAUGGAAAGCAUAAUGCUGGUGGUCAACAAAAGAGGUUUAAAGACUGUCUCAAGGCAAAUCUAAAAAAAUGUAGUAUAAACACUGACAACAUGUGCAAAUUAUUCCUUAGCCCUCCCUGCCCCCCCACCCUGUAGCUAACUUUUUGCACCAAAUCUACUCAAGGAUACAUUGUUCCCUCUCCCUCUCCUACUUCACAAAGUUUGUUUUUUUAAAUGUAUUUUUAUUAAAGAUUUUCUUGGUCUACAAAAGUAUGUGCAAUGUCUCUCUCUCUCUUUUUUCCCAAGUAACAUUUUUUACAGAUUAGUUUUGUUUGUUGAGACAUUAGGAAGAAAAGGGGGAGAGAGGUGGAGGGGGAGAGGUGAGUGGGUGUGAGGUCGGGUGGCGGAAGUUAUAGGGUGUACAGUACUUGCGGAAUAUUCCUGCAACAAGUAAAACCAGUUCAGAACUUAGUGCUAAAAAGAAACCUAUGUGAAGUCAUCUGAUGCAGAUUAAAUACAUAUGCAUGAAGCAUGAAGUUACCUAGUUUGCAUAAUGCAUCAAAUCUUGCUAUAAAAGUGCAUUUUUCCUUCCAGAAUUUGCAAUUUUAUUUUUUUCUUUAGUUUCUUUAGUUUAUGUAAUCAAGUUAACUUUUAUAUGAAAGAAUGCUUUUGACCCAACUUUGUUUCACAAACUUCUUUUUGUUAAUAGAACUUUUGUUUUUGUUUGAUCAACUCCUGCCUGAGACUCUACAUCACUAAGUUUUCCCUCACACAAGACCCCCACAAGAUAGCCUGUGGUAAAUGGCAGACAUUCAUUUAAUUGGCAUAUCCUGAGGUGGGUCCACUAUAUUUAAUUGUGGGCAGUUAGCAAGGUGAAUCCACUACAUUAUUAAUUGGUGGUUAACAGCGGGAUCUGUUACACUAGCCUUCCAAGAGGAAAGCUAGAAAUUAUGAGGUGAGCUUUAAAAUACAGCAUGUGACAUGAAGAAAAGACUUUGGCAAGAGGUUAGGGUACAAAUCUUGACUUUUAAAUGCAAACAUUUUAAUUGCUUCAGAUAACAAUGCUUAGCAAGUGUUCUGAAGAGACUGAAUUUAGUUUUUUGGGUUUUUUUUAAAUGGGAAAUGGAGCAAAUGGAGCAAAUGAUUAAAUACAGCAGGCUUCUGCAAGAUAACCUGUCCCAUAUUUCAAGUGUUUCCAAACUGGUCCGCCCACUUCAUUUAGGUGGUCCAUGGCAUGUCAGUGCAAAUACAGUUUAAAAUCUUACAGCAUGUAGUACAAUGCAUUAUAAUUGCUACAACAGACAGAAAAAUCAUAAGGUGGUCCGCCAAGAACCUCAACAAUUCUCAAGUGAUGGUGGUGGUGGGGAGUUGGGGACACAGAAUAAUGCUGUUCUGUGAUGAUGCUGUGGAACUGCUGGUCUGAAUUGUCUGCUUUCAGCAUAACUGAGACCUGUGGGUAUAGGGCGGUAUACAAAUUUAAACAACAACAGCAGCAGUUGUAUCUUCACAGCCGUCAAAGAAGAUGCAGUCUAUUUUUUUGAUGAAGAUAAUCAAAUUCCUGAUCCAGGGAUUUCAUAACUUUUUAUUGGAUGCUCUUGACUUUAUUGUGAUCAAUACAGGUCUCUUUUCUUCCUCAGUGAUCAAGCCAGCGACCAUACAGGUGACAGUGAUGAUGGCAGCUGUGGCACGCAGGCCUACACCAUACAUAUGAUACUCUGCAUAACAACACAAUGUAUUUAUAAUGUGUUGUGCUCUGACGUUUUAUUAGAAGUGGAAGGCAUACUUGGUUUUUUCAUUUUCACCAGCAGAGAAAAUUUCAGUUGAUGGUAUGGAAGCAUCCUGCUUAGUUCUUUGCUUAUAUUCAGCAAACCUUCUCUCAUAUUCUUGCUGCUUCUGCUUCUUGACUUGUUUGUUAAGCUCAGGCAUAUAUAAUAUAACUGAAAGUACUUGGCAAUCAUAUUUAAUGAUUUUAUGCAAUAUUACACACAUUUUUUCAUAACUUUUAAAUGAAACAAGUUUAAAAUUAUUGGAAAUUUCUCAGAAACGUAAAAAGUCAAUAUUUUAAUGUAGUAAUCUACCAAGCAAAACUAAAUGUUAAUUUAACCAGAAUAUCUUCUGAAUUCCCAAGUCAUAUGACAGCUUCAUAUCACCCCUCAUUUUAGGAAUGCGAUAAUUGAAAAAUUCAACAUGCCCUACAUUUCCACCAAUCAUUUGCAUUGAUUAGCUGUGAUAGCAGUCAGAGGUGGAUAUGCUAGUGGAUAACAGUUGCUGGAUGUGUGUGCAUGCAAAGACUAUGUGCCUCUUACUCAUUAGACAUUUACUUUAUUUAAUCUUUUAGACAGCACUUUAUCAUAAGCUCUCUGAAAAUCUAUUUGCGUUAUAGCUGCUAGGUAGCCUUUCUGUGAAACUUUCAUUUACUCUUUCUUUCAAAUAACUAACAGGUUACUGACCUGAAUGAGUUUUGUUCCCCUUUAUGGACUGCUAUAUCCACUUAACCUAAUCAAGUUAGGGUUAAUCGGAUUGUAUUUAAUGAAAUGAGUUGCUUUCUUGACCCUUCAUUUAAGAUUGCACCAGUUCCGCAGCAAAGAAACUUAGUUAUAUGCAUAUUUUAAAAAGAAAUUGUUUUUGUUUUGGGCAAGUAGCUACUGUUAGUCUCUCUUGUCUUGUCCUUGAUGGUCUAUGUUAUCAGAAUGAGUGUAUGUACUUUACUGUAAGAACUACCAGCAAAGGAUUUGUCUUUUCCAAAGAGUAGUUCUGAUGUUUUCAAGCAUCUUGUGGGAAGUACCAUUAAAAGGAAGGAGCAGCUUCAGAGUGACACAAUUCAAGUUGCUAUUUGUCAUACUGCAAGGGAAUAUGUAUUUUAUUUUAAUUUGAUUCUGCUUAUGAGCCACUUCUCAUAAAUCUACCUCAAAGCAAUUUUGCAAUAAAAGCAUCAACAUAGUAAAGGUAAAGGUACCCCUGCCCAUACCGGCCAGUCGUGACCAACUCUAGGGUUGCGUGCUCAUCUUGCUCUAGAGGCUGUGAGCCGGCGCCGUCCGAAGACACUUCCGGGUCACGUGGACAGCGUGACGAAGCUGCAGCUGGCGAGCCAGCACCAGAGCAGCACACGGAAAUGCCGUUUACCUUCCCGCUAUAAAGCGGUACCUAUUUAUCUACUUGCACUUAAGAGUGCUUUCAAACUGCUAGGUGGGCAGGAGCUGGGACCGAACGACGGGGGCUCACCCCACCGCGGGGAUUCAAACCGCCGACCAUACGAUCAGCAAGUCCUAGGC